UUGGUUUAUGCUCUACCAUCACUCUUAAAGAAAGUUUUUUUUACAUCUGACAUACUAAAUUAUAGCCUGGUGUCUUUGAUUAUUCUAUCUCUGGCUCUUCAGUGAUCUAGGGCAAUUUAUAAAUAAAAUGCUCCGCUGGGCGCAGCUUGAUACGACCGCAGAGAUCGAACCCUGAACAGUUGGGGCAAGUAUGGACACAACAUUCAAGCUUGAUACAGCACUGAAUUUGGAUUGUGAUUAAAUAUUUGACACAGCAUAGGUUUCUGACACAGAAUGAAUGUGGUCUAAGAACUUAAAAAAUUUUAAUUUACCUAUUCAAACCAUAUCAUUAUUAUUUGCUUUUAUAUAUAAAUCAGAAAUAACCAAUUUAAAAUGGAAAAUUUUAAAGAAAAAAAAAGGAAAAAAAAAUCCUUCCCCCAGAUUUUUUGAACCCCCUUAUGUUUCAUCACCCCCAAACUCAAUCCCAGCCUUCCCUUUGUGGUAUGGUACCUUGCAGUACAAUUUCAGAGAGAUCCAUACACUUACACACAAGUUAUUGUCUGGAAACUAGAAAAAUGCUUGUUUUUAGGCCCCUUUUUGGCCCCAAAUUCCUAAAUGUUCAGGGCAAUUACCCCCAAACUCAAACCCAGCUUUCCCUUUGUGAUAUGGAACCUUGUAGUACAAUUUCAUAAAGAUCCAUACACUUACACACAAGUUAUUGUCCUGAAACUAGAAAAAUGCUUGUUUUUUUGCCCCUUUUUGGCCCCUAAUUCCUAAAAUUUUGAGGCAAUUACCCCCAAAAUCAAUCCCAGCCUUCCCUUUGUGGUAUGGUACCUUGCAGUACAAUUUCAGAGAGAUCUUUACACUUGAACACAAGUUAUUGUUUGGAAACUAGAAAAAUGCUUAUUUUUGGCCCCUUUUUGGCCCCUUAUUCCUAAAUGUUUUGGGCAAUUACCCCCAAACUCAAUUCCAGCUUUCCCUUUGGGAUAUGGAACCUUGUAGUACAAUUUCAGAAAUAUCCAUACACUUACACACAAGUUAUUGUCAUGAAACUAGAAAAAUGCUUGUUUUUUUUACCCCUAAUUCCUAAAAUUUUGAUGCAAUUACCCCAAUAUCAAUCCCAGCAUUCCCUUUGUGAUAUGGAACCUUGUAGUACAAUGUCAGAGAGAUCCAUACACUAACACACAAGUUAUGUCUGGAAUUUACAAAAAUGCUUAUUUUUGGCCCCUAAUUCCUUAACUGUUGGUACCAUAACCCCCAACCUUCCUUUUGUGGUAUUGAACCUUAUGGUAAAAUUUCAUAGAGAUCCAUUCACUUAAACUAAAGUUAGAGUGCGAAAACCAAUGUGUCUUUGGAUGACGAUGACGACAACGUCAUACGAAUAUAUGACCGCAAAAUAUUUUUGCAGUCGUGGUCGUAUAAAAAUGCUUGUUUUGGCCCCUAAUUCCUACAUGUUUGGGGCAAUUAACCCCAAACUCAAUCCCAGCCUUCCCUUUGUUAUAUGGAACCUUGUGGUACAAUGUCAGAGAGAUCCAUACACUUACACAUAAGUUAUUGUCUGGAAACUAGAAAAAUGCUUGUUUUUGGUUCUUUUUGGCCCUUAAUUCCUUAACUGUUGGCCCCCAUAACCCCUAAAAUGAAUCCCAACCUUCUACUUGUGGUAUUAAACAUUGUGGUACAAUUUCAGAGCAAUCGAAAUACUAAUACACAAGUUUUUUUCCUGAAACUGGAAAAAUGCUUGUUUUGGGCCCCUUUUUGGGCCCCUAAUUCCUAAACGGUUGGGACAAUCAUCCCCAAAAUCAAUCCCAACCUUCCUUUUGUGGUAUUGAACCUUCUUAAAAAAUUUCAUAGAGAUCCAUACACUUCAACUAAAGUUAUUGUCCGGAAACCAAUCGAUUUUCGGACGCAGACGACGACAUCAUACCAUUAUACGAUCCCAAAAAUUUGUUUGCAGUCGUAUAAAAAGG